UACGGAGGGUGCAAGCGUUAUCCGGAUUCACUGGGUUUAAAGGGUGCGUAGGUGGGCAAGUAAGUCAGUGGUGAAAUCUCCGGGCUUAACCCGGAAACUGCCAUUGAUACUAUUUGUCUUGAAUACCCUGGAGGUGAGCGGAAUAUGUCAUGUAGCGGUGAAAUGCUUAGAUAUGACAUAGAACACCCAUUGCGAAGGCAGCUCACUACGGGAAUAUUGACACUGAGGCACGAAAGCGUGGGGAUCAAACAGG
rnacentral:rRNA from 1 species